UGGUGGAGUGAUUUGUCUGGUUAAUUCCGUUAACGAACGAGACCUCGACCUGCUAAAUAGUAUCGGGAACCCUCGGGUUCGCAGAAACUUCUUAGAGGGACUUUGCCUGUUUAGGGCAAGGAAGUUCGAGGCAAUAACA
rnacentral:rRNA from 1 species